GUCAGAGAUGGGGAGACUUCGCAGGGAACGCUAGUAACAGCUGGGCAAUUCAUGUUCUAUACACAAGCCUUCUUCCAGUGGCUGAUCAAUCAGUGAGAACAGAAGAUCAAAAUAUUACCAUGAACUAGAUGGUGGUACAGGAGAAAGGAAGAUGAAAAAUUAAAAAGGAGAAUGUGAGAACUGAACAAAGAC